UGGAAACAACCUAAGUGCCCGUCAUCGGAUGAAUGGAUAAAGAAGAUGUGGCACAUAUAUACAAUGGAAUAUUACUCAGCCAUAAAAAGAAACGAAAUUGAGCUAUUUGUAAUGAGGUGGGUAGACCUAGAGUCUGUCAUACAGAGUGAAGUAAGUCAGAAGGAGAAAGACAAAUACCGUAUGCUAACACAUAUAUAUGGAAUUUAAGAAAAAAAAAGUGUCAUGAAGAACCUAGGGGUAAGACAGGAAUAAAGACACAGACCUACUAGAGAAUGGACUUGAGGAUAUGGGGAGCGGGAAGGGUGAGCUGUGACAAAGCGAGAGAGUGGCAUGGACAUAUAUACACUACCAAACGUAAUGUAGAUAGCUAGUGGGAAGCAGCUGCAUAGCACAGGGAGAUCAGCUUGGUGCUUUGUGACCGCCUGGAGGGGUGGGAUAGGGAGGGUGGGAGGGAGGGAGACGCAAGAGAUAUGGGAACAUAUGUAUAUGUAUAACUGAUUCACUUUGUUAUAAAGCAGAAACUAACACACCAUUGUAAAGCAAUUAUACUCCAAUAAAGAUGUAAAAAAUAAAUAAAUAAAAAAUAAAAAAAUAA